GUUUCUCCAGUGCGGUAGGGGGCAGUCAACAGUUUCCGGCUGCCUUCGAAAUUUGGAAGAGAACUGCAACUGUUCUUGCAACGGGGAUAGCGAGCUCUUUCAGUGGUUUGUGUUUGCUGUUGAAUGUAACUGCUGGAAAAAGAUAAAAAAUAAACACAAAAUGACUAAGCUGCAGCUCCUGCACCGCGCGCUGAACGAGCGCCUGAUGGCGGCGGUGGAGCAGAUCAUGGAGAUGGUCGGCGGGACGGUGCUGGAGUACGAGGAAGAGACGAUCCGAGCACGGAAAGAAAACGAGGUCCUGAGACGGAGGCUCCGGUGGAUGGAGGGGGCAAACCGAGCCGACUGGCCAGGCCCAUCAGAAACUGUUACGCUUUCCACCACAGACGAGGCCAGUCCAUCCCGGCAAGAUGAGGGAACUGUCAACAUUGGAUGUGGACCGGGAUCAGAAGCUCUUGUGAUCAAAACAGAGUCGACUGAAAUCCCCCUGUGCAGCGUCGGCACAUUACCUCAAAGCAUUGAUCAGGGACCUGACAAUGCCGGGACAGGCGCAGGCAUUGCCUAUGGCCUGGUGGACAGCAUGACCUGGGACUCUGCCCAAAGUUACAUGGCCCCUCUGGACUUUGAUCCGACGUCAGGUCCCAGCAGGGUCCGGCAUUGGAGGGGACAGAACAGAAGGCAGAGGAUGUCCUUUGCCUGUCCAGACUGCGGUAAAGUCUUUGCAAGUAAACAGAGGCUGAUGGUUCAUAUGCGCAUUCAUUCCACCGAGAGGCCUUAUGCGUACCGCCGGCGCAAGGAAUGCUUCUAUGGUGACAACAAGAAAAAGAGGAAGCUGCACAGGCUCUCUCAGCUGUCAAGAGAAACUGUGGACGAUCUGUCCGAUGGCUCUGAGCAGAUGAACAGGAGUGAAGAAGAGCCUGAGAGUGACCACAACAACAGUGAUAAAGAACCAGAAAACAGAAUUACCCCCCCUGUGCAGAAACGGCGCAAAAAAAGAGGAGUUGUUAACCAGAUGUGUCGGUGCCCUCAUUGCCCUCAACGGGUGUUUGCUCGGCCCUGUCAGUUAGCCUUGCACAUGAAGACCCACUCAGUCACAGCUCUUAUCAACCUGCCCGCCCGAGCUCAGUCAGGAACUCAGGAGAUAGUGGAUGUGAAAAGGAAAUUACCCAAGAGGCAAAGAAAAAAUGAUGUGGAGAAGGAGGCCAAAGUUGCUGACAAACGUAAGCUCCAAUGUCCAGAGUGUGGCAAGGUCUUCUUACAUGCUGGCUGGUAUCGUGUCCACAUGAGGUCCCAUAACACCAAAAAGGUUUUAUUACGCAGAAGUCUGCAAAUCAAGACUGAGCGGAUUAAAGAAGAAACAACUGUGGCCGUGCCUAAAACUACAGAAGUACAGAAGGUGAAGAAGGUCAAGAAAAAACAUGCCUGCCCGCAUUGUGAUAAAGUGUUUACUCGUGAAGGAUGGCUGGAGCCACACAUUCGCAGUCAGCAUGGGGAACUAAGGAAUAGGAGUGAUUACUUGAACGUGUAUGGCAGUGGCCGUACAAGGUCUCAACAGCUGGCCACCAAGCGAUUACGUAAGCGCAAAACUCAGAAACGGCAAGUCACCAAGAAGAUGAUACUGAAUAGCCAGAAAACUAAAGGAUUGAGAAAGGUCAAGAAUAAACUACGUCAAACAAGUGAUGAUGGGUCCAUCCUGGGUGUUGAUGUGCCAGCAUUCACAAAAGAUGAGGAUGAAGAAAGUGCAGAUCUUCCUAAUACGGCCUUAGAUGAGUCGGAGAGCGCUUCUGAGCAAUCAAAGGACAUCUCAGGCUCUGACUGUGGGACAUCAAGCGCUAAAUAUCUGAAGAGGAGGUUCCCAUGCAAAAUAUGUGGCAAAGACUUUGCUCUGGAGAAGAAGCUAAAGAAGCACUCAAAGAAACAUGUAGGAUAUAUGCUUAAGGAUGAAAAGAAAAGACGACGAGUGCAAACUAAAAUGGAAACGGAGCUUAAGGAAAAAGAAAAAAGGAAAUGGGAGGGAAAAAAGAGGCUUGAUGAUGAGCUGUCAGCAAGUAACAAAAAACCAAAUACUACGCAGACGCCUCAUGGGUCCCCAAACAAAGACACGUUACGGAAAAGCAGAACCAGAGGGCAAGGGCCACUACCCUGCCCAUUUUGUGGCAAAGUUUUUGCUUGGGAAAUGCGGCUGUUGAUGCAUAUGCAGAUUCACUGUGGAGAGAAACCGUACGCCUAUCGGCAGCGCAAGAAACGGUUUUAUGGUGACCUGAAAAGGGGCCGACGCCCGAAAAUCCAUAAUCAGGAGCCUUCGGGGGACAAAAGUGAUGAGUCCGAAGAAUCUGGGAGUGAAGAGACCUUGAAUAAGGACGGAUCUGCACAUCUGAAGAGAAGUGCAACCCGUGCAGUGUCUGGAGCUCUCGCAAGCAGGAAAGCUAUUGAGCAGCCUACCACCUCUUACAAGAGUAAUCAAAGAACCAAAACCAAGCUGGUCAGUGACAUCAUGAGCCACUUCAAUAUGCAGCCCAGGAUCGUCCUACAACCAAUUAUGACAGCAUGCAAGUACUGGAGCUCAGUGCCUGGGGGAGCGGACUCAAAAUCAGGUUGCUCUGAGAAAAGUAGUGGCUCUGGUCAUGAAAAAACCUCAGCAAGGGUUGGUGAUGAAAUGGUGGAUGCUGUGAAAGAUAAAAUCGCGGAUUCCAAUCUUUGCACAUCGCCAGUGGAGUUCUCUGGUCAUAGCAUCCAAAACAAGCCUGAAAUAUGCUACAAUGAGACAGAAAUAGUCUGUGUGAAGGUUGGAUCUCCACAGCGUGAUCCAGAAGUAGAGCAUGACAACAUUGGGGGCACACUGGCCUUUGAAUCCUCUGAGGUAAAUAACACAAAGAGUCAACAAAAAGGCGACUGCAACGUUAAUUUUCCUGGUGUUUCAGAAAACACAGCCAGAGACCAGGUACCAUGUAUAGUAAUAGAUGAUGACCUAGAGCAACCAGAUGAAAGAACUGCUGCUGAAAAAAAAGCUCCGUCUGAAUGUGGAAGAAGAAAGUGUGAUUGGAAGUGCGAUUGUAAGAACAUUUCUGCGAUGAAAUUAACCGUAAUGCCACAAAAAAGCGUGUUUCAAUCUUUUUUCAAGGAAACUAGUUCUGGCACCAUGAAGAAGAACGUUGACACAAAAUUAGUUUGUGUUGUCCUCUCCGAUAUUGAAGACGAUUUGGAUGAAGAUGUGUUGACUCCCUCCAAAGGUUUAGAUAAAAAGAAAACUGCCUCUGCUCCUAUCAUUCAAAUUGAUCAAUUAGAUGUGGUGGGCACACCUGGCAAAAAUCCCUCCAGCGACUCCAACUUUCCAGCUCCAGAUGCAACUGACUCUACCAAAUCCAUUGAUGGUGCCUCACAGCAUAUCUCAACUGACCCAGGCAGAGACCAGAUGGCCUCUACUGCCAUCAGACAAACAGAGGACAUGCCCAUGAGUUCAAAGGAGAGAAUGUCAUGUCAAACAUCUGAUACGGUAUUUGCUCGUCAAGAAUCUCUGUCGGAUGUUAAUGUAGACAAGAAACUGCUAGACAUGGAGACUGGCAGUAGCAGUGAGAGAAAAAAUAAGAAACUGGGUCUGAAAAACCAGCUGUGCAAUAGUAGCAGAUUGAAAAGUAAUACGGACUCCAAGUAAAUAUGGACUCAAAAGCAAAUCUGUUCUCAAUCAGCUUCUAGAAGUGUAAAGAGUUAUGUAAAUACUUCAACAGAGAAAUCUCAAUUUAUAUUUAAUUACACUGUUUUCUUGUAAAAAUUUUAACUGUCAGAUGUCAGAAUAGGUUCUGGACGAUUCAGCUGACAACUCUGAUAUCUCAGGGAUGAAUGAACCUUCUGUACAAAAUGUGAAAACCAAUGAGUUAUUUGUGAAAAGUUUUGAAGAAUCCGAAAUGCCCUCAGACUUUCUCACGUCCCAUAAAACCUCUGACAGUGGAUGCAUGACUGCAGUGAGCAGUGGAGGACACAAAAAUAGUAAUGCAAGCACUGUAUUGACAGUUUUGUGGGAAGGCAUGUAGAAAGCUAGAACUGCACCUAAAGUGUGUUCAUGUAAGAGAACCUGAAGUGGUGAAAGCUUUAAGUCUUGACAAAGACUAUAGAGAAAGGAAACCCAUUGUUGAACAGUUUUCUAUUAAAAAGAACUUCAACCAUCCUAGAAAUUCUAAAAUGGAUUUUGAUGAAGACAUUGUUCACUGCAUUGCUUUUUUUUGCCAGGAGUCUUAUAAAGAGAACAAAUUUCAGGAGCACGUUUUUAUAUGUAAGCACAAAAAGAAUCCAGCAAAACUCAGGAAGCUUUUGAUGCAGAAUUGGAAAACCUUGCUUCAGAAGCUAUCAGCAUCUACAGACCUUUAGAGCCAACUUAGGCUCCUUUAUCAUUUCUCUCAGAUUUAGGCAGUUGCCUUUUUUUCCCAGAAACUAGGAUACAUGCGGCGAUAAUUUAGUGUCAUAUCAUCCCCAAACUGAUUUGUGAUCCGAAACCCUCAAGUCCUCUUAAUCUUGACUCUUGCCAGAGUUCUGCCCACUGUUUCUAACAUUGACAACAUCAUAGCUCAAGUUGAGCUUGAUGCACAAUUAUUAGAACCAUCUGUUCUUGAUUUUUGCCAGGGUUCUGCAAGAAAUCCUGCUCACUUGGAAUCUUCUUUUAAUACAUCACGGAACCCUGAUGUGGAGAUAAUAGAUCCACCCUUGCUAGAUUCCUGUCAAACAACACCAGUCAUAGAAUCUACAGUUCCAGCCCUUCCUAUUUCAAACUCUGGUUGCAAUGUUCUUCAGCAGUCCCUUAUAAAGCAAACGGAUCCUAACCAACUUGUGAGCCAAUCAUUUUCUUCAGAUUCAGAAGUGUCUUGUGAUCUAGAACCUGAUGGUUAUUCUUCUUUGUGAUACUGGGUGUUGUGACAACCUUCAGCUCUCUUCAAAACCAAAAGUUCCUUCAAGUACUGCAUCCUUAAACACUUAUCCAGAAUCAAAAUGUACUCUUAAUCUAGCUGUGUUUGAUGACACAUUCUUGAUCACCAAAGAGACCGAGCAAACCCAAGAUUCAGAUGUAGAAAGGAACAUCUUCAUGGUCUCUGAUGUCCAUCCAGAAACUGAAAGUCACAAUCCAGAUCCUAAUAGCUGUACCACUGAACAAACCCAGUGUAAGCAGCCUGAAAGUAUUGAAAGAACAGAUGUUGGCAGAAGUGGGAAUCGACCAACAGUGGAUCUAGAAUUCAGCUCAAUUCUUUCAAUUCAAGAAAUCAAAUCCGAAGACCUUGAAGAUCACUGAUGAGAAUGGCAAUGUUUGUGCUGUUGAAGUUCAACAUGACAAAAGCAUAUCAGUGACAAGCGAGCAGAAGAGAAAGAGUCUCCCAGAUCAGCUGUCUGAAAGAAGUCAAAGAAAAGUUGUCCAAGUUCUCAUUCCCGGGUUGUUAAUUUUUGAUCCUGAAUGCCACACCAAUUCCACUGAUGACAACUCCAGUGUAUUCAAGACACAUCGCUGCUGUUACUGCAAGCAGCCACAUCAUCGAAUGAUGGAUCAUCUUCAGACAGUUCAUCCUAAUGAACCAGAGGUGGCUAAAGCUCUC